rnacentral:rRNA from 1 species
AUUGAACGCUGGCGGCAGGCCUAACACAUGCAAGUCGAACGAGUGGCGGACGGGUGAGUAAUGUCUGGGAAACUGCCUGAUGGAGGGGGAUACCUACUGGAACCGGUAGCUAAUCCCGCAUACCAUCAGAUGUGCCCAGAUGGGAUUGGCUAGUUGGUGGGGUAACGGCUCACCAAGGCGACGAUCCCUAGCUGGUCUGAGAGGAUGACCAGCCACACUGGAACUGAGACACGGUCCAGACUCCUACGGGAGGCAGCAGUGGGGAAUAUUGCACAAUGGGCGCAAGCCUGAUAGAGCAAUGCCGCGUGUAUGAAGAAGGUCUUCGGGUUGUAAAGUACUUUCAGCGGGGAGGCGUUACCCGAAGAAGAAGCACCGGCUAACUCCGUGCCAGCAGCCGCGGUAAUAC